AUGAACGCUGGCGGCGUGCCUAAUACAUGCAAGUCGAGCGAACAGACGAGGAGCUUGCUCCUCUGACGUUAGCGGCGGACGGGUGAGUAACACGUGGAUAACCUACCUAUAAGACUGGGAUAACUUCGGGAAACCGGAGCUAAUACCGGAUAAUAUAUUGAACCGCAUGGUUCAAUAGUGAAAGACGGUUUUGCUGUCACUUAUAGAUGGAUCCGCGCCGCAUUAGCUAGUUGGUAAGGUAACGGCUUACCAAGGCAACGAUGCGUAGCCGACCUGAGAGGGUGAUCGGCCACACUGGAACUGAGACACGGUCCAGAGUCCUACGGGAGGCAGCAGUAGGGAAUCUUCCGCAAUGGGCGAAAGCCUGACGGAGCAACGCCGCGUGAGUGAUGAAGGUCUUCGGAUCGUAAAACUCUGUUAUUAGGGAAGAACAAAUGUGUAAGUAACUAUGCACGUCUUGACGGUACCUAAUCAGAAAGCCACGGCUAACUACGUG
rnacentral:rRNA from 1 species